AACGAACGCUGGCGGCAUGCCUAACACAUGCAAGUCGAACGAGACCUUCGGGUCUAGUGGCGCACGGGUGCGUAUCGCGUGGGAAUCUGCCCUUGGGUUCGGAACAACAGUUGGAAACGACUGCUAAUACCGGAUGAUGACUUCGGUCCAAAGAUUUGUCGCCCAGGGAUGAGCCCGCGUAGGAUUAGCUUGUUGGUGAGGUAAAAGCUCACCAAGGCGACGAUCCUUAGCUGGUCUGAGAGGAUGAUCAGCCACACUGGGACUGAGACACGGCCCAGACUCCUACGGGAGGCAGCAGUGGGGAAUAUUGGACAAUGGGCGAAAGCCUGAUCCAGCAAUGCCGCGUGAGUGAUGAAGGCCUUAGGGUUGUAAAGCUCUUUUACCCGGGAUGAUAAUGACAGUACCGGGAGAAUAAGCCCCGGCUAACUCCGUGCCAGCCGCCGCCGUAAAAC
rnacentral:rRNA from 1 species